AGUGAACGCUGGCGGUAGGCCUAACACAUGCAAGUCGAACGGCAGCACAGGAGAGCUUGCUCUCUGGGUGGCGAGUGGCGGACGGGUGAGGAAUACAUCGGAAUCUACUCUGUCGUGGGGGAUAACGUAGGGAAACUUACGCUAAUACCGCAUACGACCUACGGGUGAAAGCAGGGGACCUUCGGGCCUUGCGCGAUUGAAUGAGCCGAUGUCGGAUUAGCUAGUUGGCGGGGUAAAGGCCCACCAAGGCGACGAUCCGUAGCUGGUCUGCGAGGAUGAUCAGCCACACUGGAACUGAGCCACGGUCCAGACUCCUACGGGAGGCAGCAGUGGGGAAUAUUGGACAAUGGGCGCAAGCCUCAUCCAGCCAUACCGCGUGGGUGAAGAAGGCCUUCGGGUUGUAAAGCCCUUUUGUUGGGAAAGAAAUCAAGCUGGCUAAUACCCGGUUGGGAUGACGGUACCCAAAGAAUAAGCACCGGCUAACUUCGUGCCAGCCGCCGCCGUAA
rnacentral:rRNA from 1 species